rnacentral:rRNA from 1 species
UACGGAGGAUGCGAGCGUUAUCCGGAUUUAUUGGGUUUAAAGGGUGCGCAGGUUGUUGAUAAGUCAGUGGUGAAAGUCUGUCGCUUAACGGUAGGAAUUGCCAUUGAUACUGUUGGACUUGAAUAUGGAUGAGGUAGGCGGAAUGUGUAGUGUAGCGGUGAAAUGCAUAGAUAUUACACAGAACACCGAUUGCGAAGGCAGCUUACUAAUCCAUCAUUGACGCUGAGGCACGAAAGCGUGGGGAUCAAACA